rnacentral:rRNA from 1 species
UAGGGAAUCUUCCGCAAUGGGCGAAAGCCUGCCGGAGCAACGCCGCGUGAGUGAUGAAGGUCUUCGGUUCGUAAAACUCUGUUAUUAGGGAAGAACAAAUGUGUAAGUAACUAUGCACGUCUUGACGGUACCUAAUCAGAAAGCCACGGCUAACUACUUGCCAGCAGCCGCGGUAAUACGUAGGUGGCAAGCGUUAUCCGGAAUUAUUGGGCGUAAAGCGCGCGUAGGCGGUUUUUUAAGUCUGCUGUGAAAGCCAACGGCUCAACCGUGGGGGGUCAUUGGAAACUGGAAGACUUGGGUGGAGAAGAGGAAAGUGGAAUUCCAUGUGUAGCGGUGAAAUGCGCAGAGAUAUGGAGGGACACCAGUGGCGAAGGAGACUUUCUGGUCUAUAACUGACGCAGAUGUGCAAAAGCGUGGGGGUGAAACAGG